AUGGUGCCCAGGGGAGGGGCAGCAAGGCCAAGUUCCAGCCCAGGACUGUCUCGGGGCCCAGACCAACUGUGGAAUGUGACGACUGAGCAGGAGAGCCACGCUGGCAUUGCCUCGGGAACGGGGAGAGGAAAGAGCCCCAGGACCGGGAGUUGCACCCACUUCUCCCUCGGGGGCAGCAAGAGCAUCCCUUUCCCUGCCCCCGCGGACCUGGCUCCCUCUGCACUUGAACAAAACCCACAGCACUCACUGGGAGCUGACGGGCACGAUGGUGAAAACCGAAGGAAUGUAGAAGGCACCUAUGGGUGCUUCCAGCUCAAGUGGUCUGAACGUCUUCUAUCCAGAAAUAUCCUAGGUCCGGUGAUAGGAUGAGCUAUGGGAUGGAUAGAUGAAUAAAUAAAUGGAUGUGACCA
rnacentral:lncRNA from 12 species